rnacentral:misc_RNA from 1 species
GCAUGGAGAUUUAUGUCGAAAAAGAUGGAAAGAGAUGGUGCGUCAAAUAAGUCAACAUGAAAACAAGUCAUUUGAUGCACUAGUAGAAGUGUUAGCAAAGAGAUACCGCCCUGAUUUAGUUGGAGCAAGGGAGGUCUGGGAUAGUAAACCACUUGUUCCAUGACAUGUUGAACACUCACAUGAGCGUUUCUGUAGAGAGAAGAGAUGCUUGAGGAACUAGUAUGCA